rnacentral:rRNA from 1 species
GUGGGGAAUCUUGCGCAAUGGGCGAAAGCCUGACGCAGCCAUGCCGCGUGAAUGAUGAAGGUCUUAGGAUUGUAAAAUUCUUUCACCGGGGACGAUAAUGACGGUACCCGGAGAAGAAGCCCCGGCUAACUUCGUGCCAGCAGCCGCGGUAAUACGAAGGGGGCUAGCGUUGCUCGGAAUUACUGGGCGUAAAGGGCGCGUAGGCGGACAGUUUAGUCAGAGGUGAAAGCCCAGGGCUCAACCUUGGAAUUGCCUUUGAUACUGGCUGUCUUGAGUACGGGAGAGGUGAGUGGUACUCCGAGUGUAGAGGUGAAAUUAGUAGAUAUUCGGAAGAACACCAGUGGCGAAGGCGACUCACUGGCCCGUUACUGACGCUGAGGCGCGAAAGCGUGGGGAGCAAACAGGAUUAGAAACCCUAGUAGUCC